AGAGCUCUCUCACUGUCACUUAUGGAGUCUAUAUUUAUGACAUUUUGCUUUCUCACAGGUAUUUGGCAGUAUCCAGUAUUGCUAAGGGUGAUGCAAUUCCUACUUCCACUCUACCCCCCGGGCCUCCUGGCAUAGAGGCUGUCUUACCAAGGCUAAUGCAAACAUUGGAAAUGAAACCCUGCUGCAGAGGAGCACACCGACCUGUCACAUUCACUCCACUUCCACCUAACACCUCUGAGGCCAGUUUUUCCUCCAAGUUGUCCUGGCUGGAAAACGUGGAGCAACUGGUAAUGCUGGUGGAGUAG
rnacentral:lncRNA from 1 species